rnacentral:rRNA from 1 species
AGUGAACGCUGGCGGUGGGCCUAACACAUGCAAGUCGAACGGCAGCACAGUAAGAGCUUGCUCUUACGGGUGGCGAGUGGCGGACGGGUGAGGAAUACAUCGGAAUCUACUUUUUCGUGGGGGAUAACGUAGGGAAACUUACGCUAAUACCGCAUACGACCUACGGGUGAAAGCAGGGGAUCUUCGGACCUUGCGCGAUUGAAUGAGCCGAUGUCGGAUUAGCUAGUUGGCGGGGUAAAGGCCCACCAAGGCGACGAUCCGUAGCUGGUCUGAGAGGAUGAUCAGCCACACUGGAACUGAGACACGGUCCAGACUCCUACGGGAGGCAGCAGUGGGGAAUAUUGGACAAUGGGCGAAAGCCUGAUCCAGCCAUACCGCGUGGGUGAAGAAGGCCUUCGGGUUGUAAAGCCCUUUUGUUGGGAAAGAAAAGCAGCAGGUUAAUACCCCGCUGUUCUGACGGUACCCAAAGAAUAAGCACCGGCUAACUUCGUG